rnacentral:rRNA from 1 species
UACGUAGGGUGCAAGCGUUAAUCGGAAUUACUGGGCGUAAAGCGUGCGCAGGCGGUCAUGCAAGACAGAUGUGAAAUCCCCGGGCUCAACCUGGGAAUUGCAUUUGAGACUGAAUAGCUAGGGUGCGGAAGAGGGAAGCGGAAUUUCCGGUGUAGCGGUGAAAUGCGUAGAUAUCUGGAGGAACACCGGUGGCGAAGGCGGCAUCCUGGACCGGCAUUGACGCUGAGGCGCGAAAGCUAGGGGAGCAAACGGG